GUGUAGCUCAGUGGUAGAGCAUGUGUUUAGCAUGCACAAGGAUCUGGGUCUGAACCCCAGCAC
rnacentral:tRNA from 1 species